UACAGAGGGUGCGAGCGUUAAUCGGAAUUAUUGGGCGUAAAGAGCUCGUAGGCGGUUCGUCGCGUCGGCUGUGAAAUCCCGAGGCUCAACCUCGGGUCUGCAGUCGAUACGGGCGGACUGGAGUUCGGCAGGGGAGACUGGAAUUCCUGGUGUAGCGGUGAAAUGCGCAGAUAUCAGGAGGAACACCGGUGGCGAAGGCGGGUCUCUGGGCCGAUACUGACGCUGAGGAGCGAAAGCGUGGGGAGCGAACAGG
rnacentral:rRNA from 1 species